CCCCGGGUGCUGGAAUGGUAGACAGGCUCGUUUCAGGUGCGAGUGCUCGUAAGGGCGUGGAAGUUCAAGUCUUCUUCCGGGGA
rnacentral:tRNA from 1 species